GACAGAGGUGCCGAGCGUUAGGCGGAAUCACUGGGCUUAAAGCGUGUGUAGGCGGACUUCUAAGUACCUUGUGAAAUCCCACGGCUUAACCGUGGAACUGCUUGGUAUACUGGUUGUCUUGGGCCAUCUAGGGGCUACUGGAACAAACGGUGGAGCGGUGAAAUGCGUAGAUAUCGUUUGGAACGCCAAUGGUGAAAACAAGUAGCUGGGGAUGUGCCGACGCUGAGACACGAAAGCCAGGGAGCAAACGGG
rnacentral:rRNA from 1 species